rnacentral:rRNA from 1 species
UACAGAGGGGGCAAGCGUUGUUCGGAAUUACUGGGCGUAAAGGGCGCGUAGGCGGCCUGUUAAGUCGAACGUGAAAUCCCCGGGCUCAACCCGGGAACUGCGUCCGAUACUGGCAGGCUUGAAUCCGGGAGAGGGAUGCGGAAUUCCGAGUGUAGAGGUGAAAUUCGUAGAUAUUCGGAGGAACACCAGUGGCGAAGGCGGCUCACUGGUCC